AGCGAACGCUGGCGGCAGGCUUAACACAUGCAAGUCGAGCGGGCACUUCGGUGUCAGCGGCAGACGGGUGAGUAACACGUGGGAACGUACCCUUUGGUUCGGAAUAACGCUGGGAAACUAGCGCUAAUACCGGAUACGCCCUUUUGGGGAAAGGCUUGCUGCCGAAGGAUCGGCCCGCGUCUGAUUAGCUAGUUGGUGGGGUAAUGGCCUACCAAGGCGACGAUCAGUAGCUGGUCUGAGAGGGUGAUCAGCCACACUGGGACUGAGACACGGCCCAGACUCCUACGGGAAGCAGCAGUGGGGAAUAUUGGACAAUGGGCGCAAGCCUGAUCCAGCCAUGCCGCGUGAGUGAUGAAGGCCUUAGGGUUGUAAAGCUCUUUUGUCCGGGACGAUAAUGACGGUACCGGAAGAAUAAGCCCCGGCUAACUUCGUG
rnacentral:rRNA from 1 species